UACGUAGGGGGCAAGCGUUGUCCGGAUUUAUUGGGCGUAAAGAGCGUGUAGGCGGCCAGACAGGUCAGCUGUGAAAACUCGAGGCUCAACCUCGAGACGCCGGCGGAAACCAUCAGACUAGAGUCCGGAAGAGGAGAGUGGAAUUCCUGGUGUAGCGGUGAAAUGCGCAGAUAUCAGGAAGAACACCCGUGGCUAAGGCGGCUCUCUAGUACGGUACUGACGCUGAGACGCGAAAGCGUGGGGAGCGAACAGG
rnacentral:rRNA from 1 species